UUUAAAGAAACUACAAUUCACAGGCUACAGUCAGUGCAAAGUAUGGCAGCUAGGUUAUUAAUUUGACCUGGAUAUAUCUUGCCAGUUUUAAAAUAGCUGCAGUGGCUCACAGUCCAUUUCCAGGCCUAAUUCAUUGUGCUGACUUUGACCUUUAAAUGGUGUGGAAUCAGGAUUUGUGAAGGACUGUCUCCUCCUACACAUGCCUGCCCAGGUAUUAAGGUGCACCUCAGAGGUUUUUCUCGGGGUCAUUCCAUUUCCUGAUCAUAGGACCAUGAAGUGAGGCAGGUGAUAAAACGAUUUAAGUUGUGGAACACUAUCUCAGGAAUGCUCUCGGCAGAAGGCUAGCCUGUCAGAAGAUCUCUUACCAUUUCAGCACCAGGUGAAGACCUUUUUUUAAAAAAAUUCACUCAAGCUUUCUAGUUUUAGUUCUGACCGGUGGCACUAUCUGGCUCUCCCUCCUGUUCUGUUUUCAUUGUUGAGCUGUAUUCCUAUGAUAUUUAUCUCUCCCUCUUUAUACUGCAUUUACUCAAGUUCGUCAUCAUGCUGUGAAGACAGUCUGGACCACUAGGCGGCAGAAGAGGCCCACGGAGUGACCUUUUCAGAAUCAAGUCAGAACCUGAAUGGGGCUUCUCAGGAGGAAAACGUGGGAAGGAGAGGCUCCGAGGGAGGGUGACAUCAUCGUGCUGGGGAGCAGCUGUGGAUAGGAAAUAAGGUGGUCUCAGGAAUGGGGACCUGUUUGUGAGUUUGGAAGCUGAGGAAGAAAGAACCCGUGGUGGUCCUGGGGAGGGAAAAGUAGAUCAAAUGAGGAUGUCGAAGGAAAACUGAACCGGGUUUAUUGUGACAAAGCUUCCUUGGGCUUUGGGGCAUGGUGAAGUUGUCAAGAAGAGCCAGUAUUCCAGAGAACUAAUGUGAUACUACAGAGGACUUCACAAAACUAACUCUCAGCAGGUAUCAAAUGGAUGCUGCUGCCAGCCUGACUCCGUGUGCUGCAUAUAAUUCCUGGGUCAGCACCAGACCUGCGGAAGUUCCAGUCCUAGUCAAUGGCUCCCAGAACCAUCCGUCUCCAUCAGGGGUGCCACCUGAAUAAAAUAGGGGGGCAGGAGAACAUCACCUGACAAAUUCCAAGACAAUCUUGUCUGACUGUACUCAUGCACCAAUGGAUUCCUGAGGAUCGAUGUUUCCUGAGGCAGACAGAUGCCAACCAAUCCCUAUUAACACAGGAGAGCUGAGAAUGUGAGCUUGGAGCUAAAGGAAAUCUCAGCUAUGCGACCAUAGCAAACCCCCCUAUCUUAGCCACCAAUCAUAGCCACUGGCCCAUCUUGUAGAUCAUUAUAGUUAAUUUAUGUGAAGUUCAGUAAACACUUGUGCAAAAAAGUGUGUACUUCAGUUGUAGUACAAACAUGUAUGUUGUAAGAACUAACAGGUCUGAAUCUACUCAGAAGUAGGGGGGAAAUACAUUCACAGAGUACACUUUCUCUGAAAAUACUAUUAUUGAUAUACUUGCAUUUCCCCAAUGCAUUUCCCCUAAAAUAAGCAUUUUUGUAGGCACUUUCCCCAUAAAAGACUCUUAUCACUUAUUUGAGAAUGCUAUUUGAAUCUCAGAACCACCAUUGCAUAGGGUGGGAAUGUGAGUAAUCAGAUUUGAGAAUGCCCACCCCUCCAGCGACCAAUCAUGGGCCUAAGGACAAUUGUGUUGCAACAC